CGGUAUUGUAUGUUAUGGUUGCGUAGAGUCUUCGUGACUGUGAUGAAUUCCCGUCUUCUUUCCAUGGUGAGCGCUGAGAGAUCUGCGUAUACCUGGAUGCCUUGGUAUGGUGGGGGGAGCUGCUGUAGUUUGCGCGCCGCAGCCAUCAGUGUUUCUUUUGAUUUGAAAAAGUGGAAUCUGACCACCGUGUCUUUUGGUGUGUCACUCGUGAAUCGCGGUGGCCGAGGAAUGCGAUGGGCCCUGUCCAUAAG